UCUCCUUUUCACAUCUUACAUCCUUUUUCCUUCUUAAUAAUACCCGUUAGAUCUAGGGAAUCGACGGAUCACAUUGUUUCAAUAAAUCUACUUCCGUGUUGCAUUAUAGAAGGUUCGUAAAUGCAUUAUAGGGGUAAUCUAGACAUUUUGGCCGAAUAUGAACCGCCAUAUUUUUGGAAUACACGACUUUCGUGGGAUUUGAAACGAUCUCAAUCUUCUUCUUUCUUCAUUCAUUAUUCUUUCACCCCAUCCCACUCCUUCCACUCUCUCCACAACCAAAACCCUAGACAACUCCCUCCCAGCGCCGCGUCUGAAGAUUGGGGAUUUUGUCGACCAAAUUUCGGAGGAAAUAGCUAUCACCGAUAACAUCUACUCAGAAACACCGAUUCGUUUCUACUAGGUUCAAAAUGCCGAAAAGAGGUCAUCCGCGCUCCCAAGCAUCACAGGAUGCAGAUAACCAGCUUAGAGUCGACAAAGACAGUGUUGUCGACGACAUUAUUCCCGUGGCGCUAGCAAAAAGAUUUAGGGAGAGGUUAGCCGAGAUAGGCCCUGGGACCUCUGGUAGUCAAGGUGAGCCUAAACCACCUACGGGGCGAAAACUUAGCACAGUCUUUGUUGGAAGACUUAGCACUUUAGAUAUUUUUACAACCUUGAAUACACUGAA